rnacentral:misc_RNA from 1 species
UAUUAUUAUUAUUAUUAUUAUACUUUGUUGUAAGAACAAGCACACUGUAGUACGUAGUUAAUCCUUCCAAUGAUUUAAAACAGAACAACUCUAGUAGAGUCCUAGGUAAGAAAUAAGAACCUUCUUCAUUUCUUUUUUUUUCUACUGAAAAGUAAAAAUUUUUUACCCAUCUUGUGUAAAUUUCUUCGAUGCUUGAGAUUUCUUGAUUUUUCAUAUCAUUUGAGCCUCUUCUUUUGUUCUUAUUAUAUUGUUUUUAUUAAAAGGCUCUUUCAUUUUUGUAGUUGCAAUUUUUUAAUGCUUCCUCUAAUAUAAUGAAGAUUAUAUAGUUCUUGUUACUCAUCAACUAGUUUAUUGAAUUCAAUUUGGUGGGAUCUCUUGGUUAAAUGAAAAGAAAAUAAAAGAAACGAUGUACUGAAUUUAUAUUACAAGUGACACAGGAAACUGAGUUGGUUCUUGUUUCUUUCAGGGAGGAUGUGGUGGGGAAAGAU